AUGGGCACCAGGCUCCUUUGCUGGGCAGUGCUCUGUCUCCUGGGGGCAGUCCUGUCUGAAGCUGGAGUCACUCAGUCUCCCAGAUAUGUGAUCAUACGGGAAAGGCAAGAAGUUUCCUUUUGGUGUGACCCUAUUUCUGGACAUAAUACCCUCUACUGGUAUCUGCAGCCCAGAGACCAGGGCCUCCAGUCUCUAGUUUACUUUCAGAAUGAGGCUGUUAUGGGCGAUUCACAAUUGCCCAAGGAUCGUUUUUCUGCAGUGCGGCCUGACGGAGUCAACUCCACUCUGAAGAUCCAGUCUGCAAAGCUGGAGGACUCAGCCACAUAUCUCUGUGCCAGCAGUCUCACUGGGGGGGAGGCCCAGCAUUUUGGAGAGGGGACUCGACUCUCUGUUCUAGAGGAUUUGAGCAAGGUGAGUCUGCCCAAGGUCACCUUGUUUGAGCCAUCAGAGGCAGAGAUCGUCGACAAACAAAUGGCCACCCUUGUGUGCCUGGCCAGGGGCUUCUACCCUGACCACGUGGAACUGAGCUGGUGGGUGAAUGGCAAGGAGGUCCACAGUGGAGUCAGCACAGACCCUCAGCCCUACAUGGAGAAAAAUAACCUCACCUACUGCCUGAGCAGCCGCCUGAGGGUCUCUGCGACCUUCUGGCACAAUCCUCGCAACCGCUUCCGCUGCCAAGUCCAGUUCUAUGGGCUUACAGAUGAAGACUCGUGGACCGGGCCCCCGCCCAAGCCUGUCACCCAGAACAUCAGUGCAGAGGCCUGGGGCAGCGCAGAUUGUGGCAUUACCUCAGCAUCCUACCAACAAGGGGUCCUGUCUGCCACCAUCCUUUAUGAGAUCCUGCUGGGGAAGGCCACCCUGUACGCUGUGCUUGUCAGUACCCUGGUGCUGAUGGCCAUGGUCAAAAGAAAGAAUUCCUGAGGCCAGACUUGGAGGCGGAGCCCAGAACUUCCAACCCCUUGUGUUGCUAAUACAGAUUCCUUUUUUGAGCACUUCUGAAGAGUUGUCCUCAUUUGUCUGUGUGUCCCAAAGUCUGCUUAUUAGUCAUGUGCACUUACCCAUCUGCAUCAGAAAUCCCUGGGCCCUGGAGAGCACCUAGCAUAUAUACAAUCAAAAAACAUAACCAAUAAACUUGUUCUAGAAUGACCCGA